AGGUGAUAUGAACCGUUAUAACCGGCGAUACCCGAAUGGGGAAACCCAGUGUGAUUCGUCACACUAUCAUUAACUGAAUCCAUAGGUUAAUGAGGCGAACCGGGGGAACUGAAACAUCUAAGUACCCCGAGGAAAAGAAAUCAACCGAGAUUCCCCCAGUAGCGGCGAGCGAACGGGGAGGAGCCCAGAGCCUGAAUCAGCAUGUGUGUUAGUGGAAGCGUCUGGAAAGGCGCGCGAUACAGGGUGACAGCCCCGUACACAAAAGCGCAUGUGCUGUGAGCUCGAUGAGUAGGGCGGGACACGUGGUAUCCUGUCUGAAUAUGGGGGGACCAUCCUCCAAGGCUAAAUACUCCUGACUGACCGAUAGUGAACCAGUACCGUGAGGGAAAGGCGAAAAGAACCCCGGCGAGGGGAGUGAAAAAGAACCUGAAACCGUGUACGUACAAGCAGUGGGAGCACAGGUUUACCUGUGUGACUGCGUACCUUUUGUAUAAUGGGUCAGCGACUUAUAUUCUGUAGCAAGGUUAACCGAAUAGGGGAGC
rnacentral:rRNA from 1 species